rnacentral:tRNA from 2 species
GCUGGUGUAGCUCAGUUGGUAGAGCAGCUGAUUUGUAAUCAGCCGGUCGCAGGUUCGAGUCCUGUCACCAGCU